GCCCGAAUGGCUCAGUGGUAAAGCGUCUCACUAGUAAUGAGAAGAUCGCCAGUUCGAUUCUGGCUUUGGGCA